AGGCUGCAACUCGCCUGCAUGAAGUCGGAAUUGCUAGUAAUCGUGGAUCAGCAUGCCACGGUGAAUACGUUCCCGGGCCUUGUACACACCGCCCGUCACACCAUGGGAGUCGGUAACACCCGAAGCCUGUAGUCUAACCGCAAGGAGGACGCAGUCGAAGGUGGGAUUGAUGACUGGGGUGAAGUCGUAACAAGGUACC
rnacentral:rRNA from 1 species